rnacentral:lncRNA from 10 species
UGAUGCCGCAUUUCAGAAUUGAUUCUUGGCCUGGUACUCUAUUUACAGAUUAGUUCCUCACAGAGGGAUGACGAUGUGAAGGCAGCCAUGAAAUGAUGGAGGGAGAGACUGUACCAAUGCAGCAGCAAGUCAAGGAGCAAUGAUGAUUGACAGCCACCACCAGAAGCUAGGGAGGGGCAAGGAAGGAUUCGGCCCAGAUCUCAGAGGAAGCAUGGCCCUGCCAGCGCUUUGAUUUUUGACUUGUAGCCUCCAGAACUGUGAGACAAUACAUUUCGGCUGUUGUCAGUCACACAGCUUGUGGCACUUUGUUAUAGCAGCCCCAGGAAAUUAAUAUGCAGUUGGUCCUUUGUAUCCAUGGGUUCCACAUCUGGGAAUUCAACCAACCAUGGAUCAAAAAUAUUGGGGGAGGCCGGGUGCGGUGGCUCAUGCCUGUAAUCCCAGCACUUUGGAAGGCCGAGAUGGGCGGAUCACGAGGUCAGGAGAUCGAAACCAUCCUGGCUAACAUGAUGAAACCCUGUCUCUACUAAAAAUC